rnacentral:rRNA from 1 species
GGAUACGCUUGGUUAAGCGCAUGCUUGAUUAAGGAAAGGAGCAAUCCGCAUUAAGAUGGGUCCGCGUCCCAUUAGCUAGUUGGGGGUGUAAGAGACCCCCAAGGCGACGAUGGGUAGCCGGCCUGAGAGGGUGACCGGCCACACUGGAACUGAGACACGGUCCAGACUCCUACGGGAGGCAGCAGUGGGGAAUCUUCCGCAAUGGGCGAAAGCCUGACGGAGCAACGCCGCGUGAACGAAGAAGGCCUUCGGGUUGUAAAGUUCUGUCAUCAGGGAAGAAGAAAGUGACGGUACCUGAGGAGGAAGCCCCGGCUAACUACGUGCCAGCAGCCGCGGUAAAACGUAGGGGGCGAGCGUUGUCCGGAAUUACUGGGCGUAAAGGGCGUGUAGGCGGUCUAAUAAGUCUCGAGGUGAAAACUUACGGCUCAACCGUAAGCGUGCCUGAGAAACUGUUGGACUUGAGGGCAGGAGAGGGGAGUGGAAUUCCCAGUGUAGCGGUGAAAUGCGUAGAUAUUGGGAGGAACACCGGUGGCGAAGGCGGCUCUCUGGCCUGUUACUGACGCUGAGGCGCGAAAGCGUGGGGAGCGAACGGGAUUAGAUACCCCGGUAGUCCACGCCGUAAACGAUGGGUGCUAGGUGUAGGAGGUAUCGACCCCUUCUGUGCCGUAGUAAACACAAUAAGCACCCCGCCUGGGGAGUACGGCCGCAAGGUUGAACACUCAAAGGAAUUGACGGGGGCCCGCACAAGCGGUGGAGCAUGUGGUUUAAUUCGACGCAACGCGAAGAACCUUACCAGGGUUUGACAUCCUCUGACAGCCUAUGAAAGUAGGAUUUCUAUCUUCGGAUAGACAGGGAGACAGGUGGUGCAUGGUUGUCGUCAGCUCGUGUCGUGAGAUGUUGGGUUAAGUCCCGCAACGAGCGCAACCCUUACGUUUAGUUGCUAACGGGUUAGGCUGAGCACUCUAGACGAACUGCCGUUGACAAAACGGAGGAAG